rnacentral:rRNA from 1 species
UACGGGGGGAGCAAGCGUUGUUCGGAUUUACUGGGCGUAAAGGGCGCGUAGGCGGCCACCGCAAGUCGACUGUGAAAUCUCCGGGCUUAACCCGGAAAGGUCAGCCGAUACUGCGGGGCUAGAGUGCAGAAGGGGCAACUGGAAUUCUCGGUGUAGCGGUGAAAUGCGUAGAUAUCGAGAGGAACACCUGCGGCGAAGGCGGCUUGCUGGGCGUGAUCUGACGCUGAGGCGCGAAAGCGUGGGGAGCGAACAGG